AGUCGAGCGAAGCUUUUUAGUAGUUUACUACUAGAAAUGACUGAGCGGCGAACGGGUGAGUAACGCGUGAGCAAUCUACCUUAGUUACUGGGAUAGCCCGAGGAAACUCGGAUUAAUACCAGAUAUUCUUAUUUUUUCACAUGAAGUUUUAAGGAAAGGUCAGCCGAACUAAGAUGAGCUCGCGUUCUAUCAGCUAGUUGGUGGGGUAAAAGCCUACCAAGGCUACGACGGAUAGCUGGUCUGAGAGGACGAUCAGCCACACUGGGACUGAGACACGGCCCAGACUCCUACGGGAGGCUGCAGCAGGGGAUAUUGUGCAAUGAGCGAAAGCUUGACACAGCGACACCGCGUGUGGGAUGACGGUUCUAGGAUUGUAAACCACUUUCAGGAGGGAAGAAAAUGACGGUACCUCCACAAGAAGACCCGGCCAACUAUGUGCCAGCAGCCGCGGUAAUACAUAGGGGUCAAGCGUUGUCCGGAUUUAUUGGGCGUAAAGAGCUCGUAGGCGGUUCAACAAGUCGGUCGUAAAAGUUUAGGGCUCAACCCUAAAAUGUCGAUCGAUACUGUUGUGACUAGGAUACGGUAGAGGUGAAUGGAAUUCCGAGUGUAGCGGUGAAAUGCGUAGAUAUUCGGAGGAACACCAAUUGCGAAGGCAGUUCACUGGACCGUGAUCGACGCUGAGGAGCGAAAGCUAGGGGAGCAAACAGGAUUAGAUACCCUGGUAGACCUAGCUGUAAACGAUGGAUACUAGAUGUAGGAACUGGAUUGACGGUUUCUGUAUCGUAGCUAACGCGUUAAGUAUCCCGCCU
rnacentral:rRNA from 1 species